UGGGGAAUUUUGGACAAUGGGCGAAAGCCUGAUCCAGCAAUGCCGCGUGUGUGAAGAAGGCCUUCGGGUUGUAAAGCACUUUUGUCCGGAAAGAAAUCCUUGGCUCUAAUACAGUCGGGGGAUGACGGUACCGGAAGAAUAAGCACCGGCUAACUACGUGCCAGCAGCCGCGGUAAUACGUAGGGUGCAAGCGUUAAUCGGAAUUACUGGGCGUAAAGCGUGCGCAGGCGGUUUGCUAAGACCGAUGUGAAAUCCCCGGGCGUCAACCUAGGGAACUGGCAUUGGUGAUCUGGCAGGCUAGAGUAUGGCAGAGGGGGUAGAAUUCCACGUGUAGCAGUGAAAUGCGUAGAGAUGUGGAGGAAUACCGAUGGCGAAGGCAGCCCCUGGCAAGUACUGACGCUCAUGCACGAAAGCGUGGGGAGCAAAC
rnacentral:rRNA from 1 species